GACGAACGCUGGCGGCGUGCCUAACACAUGCAAGUCGAACGAGCGAGAGAGAGCUUGCUUUCUCGAGCGAGUGGCGAACGGGUGAGUAACGCGUGAGGAACCUGCCUCUAACAGGGGGACAACAUUUGGAAACGACUGCUAAUACCGCAUAAGCUCUCGACCCGCUGUCGGGUAGAGGGAAAAGGAGCAGUCCGCUUUGAGAUGGCGCCGCGUCCGAUUAGCUAGGUGGUGGGGUAACGGCCCACCAAGGCGACGACCGGUAGCCGGGCGGAGAGGAUGAACGGCCACACUGGGACUGAGACACGGCCCAGACUCCUACGGGAGGCAGCAGUGGGGAAUAUUGCACAAUGGGGGAAAGCCUGAUGCAGCGACGCCGCGUGGGGGAAGAAGGUCUUCGGAUUGUAAAGUCCUGUUGUUGGGGAAGAUAAUGACGGUACUGGGAAAAGAAGUGACGGCUAACUACGUG
rnacentral:rRNA from 1 species